rnacentral:rRNA from 1 species
CAGGAUUAGAUACCCUGGUAGUCCACGCCGUAAACGAUGUCGACUUGGAGGCUGUUCCCCUGAGGAGUGGCUUCCGGAGCUAACGCGUUAAGUCGACCGCCUGGGGAGUACGGCCGCAAGGUUAAAACUCAAAUGAAUUGACGGGGGCCCGCACAAGCGGUGGAGCAUGUGGUUUAAUUCGAUGCAACGCGAAGAACCUUACCUGGCCUUGACAUCCAGAGAACUUUCCAGAGAUGGAUUGGUGCCUUCGGGAACUUUGAGACAGGUGCUGCAUGGCUGUCGUCAGCUCGUGUUGUGAAAUGUUGGGUUAAGUCCCGCAACGAGCUCAACCCUUAUCCUUUGUUGCCAGCGAUUCGGUCGGGAACUCAAAGGAGACUGCCGGUGAUAAACCGGAGGAAGGUGGGGAUGACGUCAAGUCAUCAUGGCCCUUACGGCCAGGGCUACACACGUGCUACAAUGGCGCAUACAAAGAGAAGCGACCUCGCGAGAGCAAGCGGACCUCAUAAAGUGCGUCGUAGUCCGGAUCGGAGUCUGCAACUCGACUCCGUGAAGUCGGAAUCGCUAGUAAUCGUGGAUCAGAACGCCACGGUGAAUACGUUCCCGGGCCUUGUACACACCGCCCGUCACACCAUGGGAGUGGGUUGCAAAAGAAGUAGGUAGCUUAACCUUCGGGAGGGCGCUUACCACUUUGUGAUUCAUGACUGGGGUGAAGUCGUAACAAGGUAGC